rnacentral:lncRNA from 10 species
UUCAAGGGAGCCUUGGAAGGAGUCUUUAUGUGCCCAGUGGAGAACCAGAGCCUUAUCCCAAGGAAGAAGGGAGAGCAGGCAUUGAGGUUUGUUUUCAACAAACUCAUCAAAUCUUCAGUCAACUCAAAGAUACAUGUAUAUUUGAAGUAUUCAGGGAAGAGAACUAAAAAGAUACUAAUGAAACCGAGCUGUGUCAUCAAUCUCACCCUCUUUUAAGUUCCCAGAGACUGCAGUGCCCGGCCUUAUGUUGGCACAAUUUCAUUGUGUUGUCACCCACGUUUAUGCGGCUGUUUUCUCCAAGGCUGAGCCACUCCAGCUGAGAGCUGCGUCUGACUUGUGGCCUACCAGAUGGUGGAGGCUCAAUCAGUCUUUGCUGAGCAAAUCAAUGGAUCCAACAAGUAGAACUGAAUUAUGGAGAAAGAAGAAAGAGGUGAAGCACGGACCGGGUAAGGCUCACCUGAAUCAAAUCAAAGGGUUUGGAAGACAAAGAAGAUGAGUGGAUGCAUGCAUAAGAAUGAGGCAGUAUCACAAGAGGCGCUGACUUUACAAGAGAAUUAUGAUCUCCCCAGAGACAGACAAUCUAUCUAGAAAACUUUGCUCUCAGCUCCUGGGUAAUUCUGGGUUAAAUUAGCUCCAUUAGCUCAUAAAAACCACCAUUAGCUCACCAAAACAAAAAGACAUUAAUAAUAAAGAACUGUGUGUUUUUAUAGCACUCUGCUUUUAGCAGCUUUCUCAGUGACAUUAUUUCAUUUGAGCUUCUCAAAAAAAAAAAAAAAAGAUUUUCUUCCCUUUUGGUGAGGAGGAGACUAAGGGGUUAAGUGGGAA